GACGAACGCUGGCGGCGUGCCUAAUACAUGCAAGUAGAACGCACAGUUUAUACCGUAGCUUGCUACACCAUAAACUGUGAGUUGCGAACGGGUGAGUAACGCGUAGGUAACCUGCCUGGUAGCGGGGGAUAACUAUUGGAAACGAUAGCUGAUACCGCAUCAUAUUGAUUAUUGCAUGAUAAUUGAUUGAAAGAUGCUAUUGCAUCACUACCAGAUGGACCUGCGUUGUAUUAGCUAGUAGGUGAGGUAACGGCUCACCUAGGCGACGAUACAUAGCCGACCUGGGGAGGUGACCGGCCCAACUGGGACUGGGACACGGCCCAGACUCCUACGGGGAGCAGCCGUAGGGAAUCUUCGGCAAUGGACGAAAGUCUGACCGAGCAACGCCGCGUGAGUGAAGAAGGUUUUCCGAUCGUAAAGCUCUGUUGUAUGAGAAGAACGGGUGUGAGAGUGGAAAGUUCACACUGUGACGGUAUCUUACCAGAAAGGGACGGCUAACUACGUG
rnacentral:rRNA from 1 species